UGGGGAAUAUUGGGACAAUGGGCGCAAGCCUGAUCCAGCCAUACCGCGUGGGUGAAGAAGGCCUUCGGGUUGUAAAGCCCUUUUGUUGGGAAAGAAAUCCAGCCGGCUAAUACCUGGUUGGGAUGACGGUACCCAAAGAAUAAGCACCGGCUAACUUCGUGCCAGCAGCCGCGGUAAUACGAAGGGUGCAAGCGUUACUCGGAAUUACUGGGCGUAAAGCGUGCGUAGGUGGUCGUUUAAGUCCGUUGUGAAAGCCCUGGGCUCAACCUGGGAACUGCAGUGGAUACUGGGCGACUAGAGUGUGGUAGAGGGUAGCGGAAUUCCUGGUGUAGCAGUGAAAUGCGUAGAGAUCAGGAGGAACAUCCAUGGCGAAGGCAGCUACCUGGACCAACACUGACACUGAGGCACG
rnacentral:rRNA from 1 species